rnacentral:rRNA from 1 species
GACGAACGCUGGCGGCGUGCUUAACACAUGCAAGUCGAACGAUGACGCCCGAGCUUGCUCGGUCUGAUUAGUGGCGAACGGGUGAGUAACACGUGAGCAACCUGCCCUUCACUCUGGGAUAACCUCGGGAAAUCGGGGCUAAUACCGGAUAUGAGCUCCUGUCGCAUGGCGGGUGUUGGAAAGUUUUUCGGUGAAGGAUGGGCUCGCGGCCUAUCAGUUUGUUGGUGGGGUAGUGGCUCACCAAGGCGAUGACGGGUAGCCGGCCUGAGAGGGCGACCGGCCACACUGGGACUGAGACACGGCCCAGACUCCUACGGGAGGCAGCAGUGGGGAAUAUUGCACAAUGGGCGGAAGCCUGAUGCAGCGACGCCGCGUGAGGGAUGACGGCCUUCGGGUUGUAAACCUCUUUCAGCAGGGAAGAAGCGAAAGUGACGGUACCUGCAGAAGAAGCGCCGGCUAACUACGUG